ACGUCAUCCCCACCUUCCUCCGAGUUGACCCCGGCAGUCUCCCAUGAGUCCCCACCACUACGUGCUGGCAACAUGGAACGAGGGUUGCGCUCGUUGCGGGACUUAACCCAACAUCUCACGACACGAGCUGACGACAACCAUGCACCACCUGUACGCGACCAACUAAAUGACACCCCAUCUCUGGGAUUCCACCGCGCAUGUCAAGCCUUGGUAAGGUUCUUCGCGUUGCAUCGAAUUAAUCCGCAUGCUCCGCCGCUUGUGCGGGCCCCCGUCAAUUCCUUUGAGUUUUAGCCUUGCGGCCGUACUCCCCAGGCGGGGCGCUUAAUGCGUUAGCUGCGGCACGGAAUCCGUGGAAUGGACCCCACACCUAGCGCCCAACGUUUACGGCAUGGACUACCAG
rnacentral:misc_RNA from 1 species